GUAUCGUGGUGUAGCUGGUUAACGCGUCGGCGUACAUUGUCGAAGUUGCUGGUUCGAGUCCUGCGGGUAAACA
rnacentral:tRNA from 1 species